rnacentral:rRNA from 1 species
AGAGUUUGAUCCUGGCUCAGGACGAACGCUGGCGGCGUGCUUAACACAUGCAAGUCGAACGGAAAGGCCCCUUCGGGGUACUCGAGUGGCGAACGGGUGAGUAACACGUGGGUGAUCUGCCCUGCACUUUGGGAUAAGCCUGGGAAACUGGGUCUAAUACCGAAUAGGACCGCAUGCUUCAUGGUGUGUGGUGGAAAGCUUUUGCGGUGUGGGAUGGGCCCGCGGCCUAUCAGCUUGUUGGUGGGGUAAUGGCCUACCAAGGCGACGACGGGUAGCCGGCCUGAGAGGGUGUCCGGCCACACUGGGACUGAGAUACGGCCCAGACUCCUACGGGAGGCAGCAGUGGGGAAUAUUGCACAAUGGGCGCAAGCCUGAUGCAGCGACGCCGCGUGGGGGAUGACGGCCUUCGGGUUGUAAACCUCUUUCAGUAUCGGCGAAGCUCCAGGAUUUUUCUUGGGGUGACGGUAGGCACAGAAGAAGCACCGGCCAACUACGUGCCAGCAGCCGCGGUAAUACGUAGGGUGCGAGCGUUGUCCGGAAUUACUGGGCGUAAAGAGCUCGUAGGUGGUUUGUCACGUUGUCUGUGAAAACUCACAGCUUAACUGUGGGCGUGCGGGCGAUACGGGCAGACUGGAGUACUGUAGGGGAGACUGGAAUUCCUGGUGUAGCGGUGGAAUGCGCAGAUAUCAGGAGGAACACCGGUGGCGAAGGCGGGUCUCCGGGCAGUAACUGACGCUGAGGAGCGAAAGCGUGGGGAGCGAACAGGAUUAGAUACCCUGGUAGUCCAA